CCAAUAGCGUAUAUUAAAGUUGUUGCAGUUAAAAAGCUCGUAGUUGAAUUUCGGGAUCAAAUUGUCGGUCGUGCCUCGGUACGAACUGGUAUUAUUGGUUCCUACCUUCUGAAGAACCGCGAUGUCAUUAAUUUGGUGUCGUGGGGAAUCAGGACUGUUACUUUGAAAAAAUUAGAGUGUUUAAAGCAGGCUUACGCUUGAAUACAUUAGCAUGGAAUAAUGAAAUAGGACGUUUGAUUCUAUUUUGUUGGUUUCUAGGAUUGACGUAAUGAUUAAUAGGGAUAGUUGGUGGCAUUAGUAUUCAAUUGUCAGAGGUGAAAUUCUUGGAUUUAUUGAAGACUAACUACUGCGAAAGCAUUUGCCAAGGAUGUUUUCAUUAAUCAAGAACGAAAGUUAGGGGAUCGAAGACGAUCAGAUACCGUCGUAGUCUUAACCAUAAACUAUGCCGACUAGGGAUCGGAUGAUGUUAAUUUUUUAAUGACUCAUUCGGCGCCUUACG
rnacentral:misc_RNA from 1 species